rnacentral:rRNA from 1 species
UAAGAGGUCCCGCCUGCCCUGUGACUAUAAGUUUAACGGCCGUUUUAUCUUAACCGUGCAAAGGUAGCGCAAUCACUUGUCUUUUAAAUGAAGACCUGUAUGAAUGGCAUAACGAGGGCUUAGCUGUCUCCCCCCUCCAGUCAAUGAAACUGACCUCCCCGUGCAGAGGCGGGGAUUAUUACAUAAGACGAGAAGACCCUGUGGAGCUUUAGACCUAAAGUAGUGCAUGUCUAAAAUACUAGAAAAUAAGAAAAAACCCAAUGCCCCCUACUGAAGUGUCUUUGGUUGGGGCGACCGCGGGGUAAAACAAAACCCCCAUGUAGACCGGGGAAACAUCCCUAAAACCCAGAGCAACCACUCUAAGAAACAAAACCUUUGACUUUUUCUGAUCCGGCAUAGCCGAUCAACGAACCGAGUUACCCCAGGGAUAACAGCGCAAUCCUCUCUCAGAGCCCAUAUCGACGAGGGGGUUUACGACCUCGAUGUUGGAUCAGGACAUCCUAAUGGUGCAGCCGCUAUUAAGGGUUCGUUUGUUCAACG